GUGAUGACAAAGUUUCACAGAAAACAUUUUUCUACCUUGAAAUUUCACCGUCUGAGGCAGAAAUUCAGUCUCUAAUACUUUAAAAGUAAAACAAAACGAAACCUUGGAGACUGUGGCCUUUAGUAGGCGAUGGGGGAGGAUGGAUUGGAAGGGAGUAUACAGUAGGCUGUGAGAGAGAUGGGGGAGGAGGGAUUGGAAGGGAGUAUACAGUAGGAUGUGAGGGAGUUGGGGGAGGAUGGAUUGGGAGGGAGUAUACAGUAGGCUGUGUAGGAGAUGGGGAGAGGAAUUGGAAGGGAGUAUACAGUAGGCUGUGAGGGAGGUGGGGAGGAUGGAUUGGGAGGGAGUAUACAGUAGGCUGUGUAGGAGAUGGGGAGGAUGGAUUGGAAGGGAGUAUACAGUAGGCUGCGUAGGAGAUGGGGAGGAUGGAUUGGGAGUAUACAGUCGGCUGUGUAGGAGAUGGGGAGGAUGGAUUGGAAGGGAGUAUACAGCAGGCUGUGUAGGAGAUGGGGAGGAUGGAUUGGAAGGGAGUAUACAGUCGGCUGAGGGAGUUGGGGGAGGAUGGAUUGGAAGGGAGUAUACAGUAGGCUGUGUAGGAGUUGGGGGAGCAUGGAUUGGAAGGGAGUAUACAGUAGGCUGUGAGGGGGUUGUGUGGCACCCCUUGAGGAAACGUCAGACUAAGAUGGAAACAUAACACCAAACCUCACAUGAGGAGUUUCCAUAACGUUUCUCACCUUGCCAAAAAAUGCUUUACGUAUACUGUCUAGAAAUAGGAAUUUUAAAACAGCCUUUGUUAAUGAAAUUCAGUGAGAUCUCUAAAUGUCAUGUGUCUGUGUCAAUGUAGCGUUAAUAACUCUGUGGAAAGGAAUCUCCAAUAUCCGGUUAUAUUUGCAACCUUGUUGUCAGAGCGCAGAGGUAACUGCCCCGUCAUAUACGGAGUAGACACUGUGCAAAGUGUGUUCUUCCAUAAGAUCAAGACGGUAUCUUUCCACAUAAGCUUCCCUCUCUGUAAGGACCUUCUCCAAAAUAGCUGAGCCUUCUGUAAAACUGCUUGUGAAAAAAGAAUUGCAGGACGUCUCAAUUACCUGGUCCAUGCCCACUAAAUGCCAGUCAAGCAGUACCUUUCCUCAACAGUGACAGAAGCAGCAAUACCUCCCACACAUCUCCAAAAUGCCCCCUAGGCUUCCCAAGCAAUCACCUUUAGAUCCUAUCGUCACUCUGGGUGGCACAAGGUCCCAGGCCAACUUGUAGUGGAGGAAUAGGGUAUAAUUUCCCCUUGAAAUCAGCUCAAAAUGUUCUCUUGGUGCUUCUUUAUGGACUGUUUCUAGUACGUGGCUUUUCACGAUGACUGGUUCUUUCACUGUCCUUGAUUCCUGAAUUUCCUGAAUCUCCUGGAGCCUGGCAUUUGUUCUUGAUUGACAUUCGGAUGGUUCUGAACCCUCCCUGUAUCCUGGACACCAGUUUUGUUUAGGUUGGUACUCUGGUUCUCUGCAUGCCCAUUCUUGCUAAGCCGGUCAUGAUUUCCAGCUAGUUUCAGCAGCUCCCCUGUUCCCACGGCCAUUUUCACAUGAUAUCUCCCAAAGGCUUUUAAAAUGAAAACCUUUUACACUGGCUACGUUGGGUUCAUAUUAAAGCAAUCCUUUCCCUUACUCAAGGAAGUAAUAAUUAUAUAGGCCAAAUUAAUAAACCCUCUUGUGCAAGUUUUAUAUAUGCCAACAACUAUAAAAACACUUUUUACAAAACUGACAUUAACUAGUACAAUCAUUAUAAUGUAGCUAACAUUAAUUCAUCGUAUCUAAAACCCUUAAGCAUCUUCCAUAACCUGUUUUUUCGACUCCACUUCUUCCUGCAUUCCCAGAGCUGGAUCUUCAGCUGCCACGCUUCUUCCUCGUGUACAACAGUAGUUCUUAAUCUGUUUUGAGUCUGGACCCCUUGGAGGAGCUGAAGAACUCUACACAGAUCCUUUCC
rnacentral:lncRNA from 10 species